GGCUACUAUGAAUCAGUGGUUAGAUCGCCUGCCGGAUGAUUAGUUUCGACGGCUGGAGGCCGGGGAUCGAUUCCCCGUAGUGCCA